ACGCAGCUGAUGCAGCGACGCCGCGUGAGGGAUGACGGCCUUCGGGUUGUAAACCUCUUUCGUUAGGGAAGAAGCGAAAGUGACGGUACCUGCAGAAGAAUCGCCGGCUAACUACGUGCCAGCAGCCGCGGUAAUACGUAGGGCGCAAGCGUUAUCCGGAAUUAUUGGGCGUAAAGAGCUCGUAUGCGGUUUGUCGCGUCUGCCGUGAAAGUCCGGGGCUCAACUCCGGAUCUGCGGUGGGUACGGGCAGACUAGAGUGAUGUAGGGGAGACUGGAAUUCCUGGUGUAGCGGUGAAAUGCGCAGAUAUCAGGAGGAACACCGAUGGCGAAGGCAGGUCUCUGGGCAUUAACUGACGCUGAGGAGCGAAAGCAUGGGGAGCGAACAGGAUUAGAUACCCUGGUAGUCCAUGCCGUAAACGUUGGGCACUAGGUGUGGGGG
rnacentral:rRNA from 1 species